GACCAGUGAGGGAGAGCAUAGCAGAGGUUAGCCGCGGCCGGAGCUCGUCUGCCGCCCCGCCCGCUACACCCUCCCAUUCUUUCCCCCAUAUCUCCCAUACCCGCGCCCGUAGACACAUGGGGGUGGUGUCUCCCAGGUGGACAUUGCAGGGGUAACUGAACAAAAUAACAGAAUUUCCGAGUUAAUUAACAUGUUUUCCACUGAACAACGAACGAAAAGUGGAGAAGAAAAGGAAGAUGAUGAAAGGAGGGAUGGAAGGAAGAAAUAAACAGGAAACAGCAAGAAAACAAGAAAAAAA